CAGUCGCCGCGGGAAUACGUAGGUGGCAAGCGUUGUCCGGAAUUAUUGGGCGUAAAGGGCUCGCAGGCGGUUUCUUAAGUCUGAUGUGAAAGCCCCCGGCUCAACCGGGAAGGGUCAUUGGAAACUGGGAAACUUGAGUGCAGAAGAGGAGAGUGGAAUUCCACGUGUAGCGGUGAAAUGCGUAGAGAUGUGGAGGAACACCAGUGGCGAAGGCGACUCUCUGGUCUGUAACUGACGCUGAGGAGCGAAAGCGUGGGGAGCGAACAGGAUUAGAUACCCGCGUAGUCCCUGUCUCUUAUAC
rnacentral:rRNA from 1 species